rnacentral:rRNA from 1 species
GAUGAACGCUGGCGGCGUGCCUAAUACAUGCAAGUCGAGCGAACAGAUGAGGAGCUUGCUCCUCUGACGUUAGCGGCGGACGGGUGAGUAACACGUGGAUAACCUACCUAUAAGACUGGGAUAACUUCGGAAAACCGGAGCUAAUACCGGAUAAUAUAUUGAACCGCAUGGUUCAAUAGUGAAAGACGGUUUUGCUGUCACUUAUAGAUGGAUCCGCGCCGCAUUAGCUAGUUGGUAAGGUAACGGCUUACCAAGGCAACGAUGCGUAGCCGACCUGAGAGGGUGAUCGGCCACACUGGAACUGAGACACGGUCCAGACUCCUACGGGAGGCAGCAGUAGGGAAUCUUCCGCAAUGGGCGAAAGCCUGACGGAGCAACGCCGCGUGAGUGAUGAAGGUCUUCGGAUCGUAAAACUCUGUUAUUAGGGAAGAACAAAUGUGUAAGUAACUAUGCACGUCUUGACGGUACCUAAUCAGAAAGCCACGGCUAACUACGU